CUCUACAUCCUGUCAACUCUUGAAACGCUAUCUAAUUUUUCAGCCAUGAAGAUCUUUGCUCUUUUCACAGCUGUUCUCUUCUUUGUGCUGAUGGCUGCUCCAGCACUUGCGCAGAAGUCAGAGGCAGAAUGUCACAGGUUGGGUGGCAGCUGCCAUAAUGGCUUUUGCCCAAUAGGCAAAAUUCACAAGGGACAUUGUGGUAACCCAAAAAGAUGGUGCUGCAGAAAAUAGAUAACCUCAAGAUGUUGUCUACUCACAGUGGAUUUCAGGGUAGCUUGAACAUUUGAUGAUAAUGCUUUAUCUGAUUUGCCUUCAGCUUUUAAUGGAGCUGAU